GUCUUCACCCUCAAAACUCUGUGUCAGUCUCAUUUGGAUUCCCCCAAAUUGAAAACCCUAAUGCUGGUCAUAGUCUCUUAAGUUAAAGAACAGCAUUGGAGUCCUUUCUUUGGUUUGGAAUCUGGUGGAGAAGGAACCACAGUCAUCAUCACAUUUUGAUUUUAGCAUAAUGAUAUCUCCUCUCAAAACUAAAUAAAAUAUGAUGGUAAUGUUCCAUGUGCUGCUUUGUAGAUCUAGAACCCUAACCCUUGAAUCUCUAUCCAUCUUGUUCCAGAGAAAACAAACUGAAUCAUGGGAGAGAAGAGGAGGAGACAGAUGUUUAGGUAGAAGAUCAAUGCUUCACUUUUCUGAAUCAGAAACACAAGCAUUACUGAUAUGGGGCUUAAGAAAUUGGGGAAUUGAGUCAAUAUUUUAGCCAGAUUCCAAGAGAUCUAUUUCAUUAGAGAAGAACUCCUCCAAAUCUGAAGGAAAGGAGGAAUGAAAUACAUAGAGCAGGACAACAAUCGCAUUAUGAUUUCUCAUCUCGAUAACAAAAAAACUCCAAGGUUUAAGGAACAAUCUCUUAAUGAUGAAGGAAUACUGAAUGCGAUGUUGUUGGUCUAAUCACAGAAAGAGCUGGGUGUGUUUGCAGUGAUGCUGCAAAAGAGGCUGAAUCAAAGAAAUCGUAUGAGUUAAGACUUCAGAGUAUAAGGAGAUUGCUGGUUUAAAGAAAAGGAGAUUCAGUGUGAUGUGAUGAAGGGUGAGCAUAAGGGGUUGAAAAUGAAGAUUAACAGUCUAGAGAAGGAGACGCUGGUAAGAAUUGAGGAGAGUGAGGAGCUGAAGUCUGAUAAAAAGAGGGUUGAUAAUGAAAUUGAAGUUUUGAAGAUUGAAUUGGGAGGAGAACUAGAGGAGGAGAACAAAAAGAUGGGAAUGGAUCCAAGGGAGAAAUGUGGGUAAACCCGGGAUGGAGAUCGAGUCGAAGUCUGCGAAAAAUAGAGCAAAUGAUGAAUUUGGAGUUUUAGAGAGGAAGCGUAUGGAAUUGGAGGUUUAAGGAAGCUUGUCGCUGAAUUAUGGAAUCGAAGUGAGUAAAGAGUUUAAGCACCAAAUGUUUAAAACGGUACAUUGAGAUGGUCAGGUUAUGGAGUACAGAACUAUAUGUAGUGGAAUCCAAAUACAAAUUUAGGGUCUAAUAUAUGAACGGAAUGCUUCAUCUGAAAGAGAGAAGACAGCACAAGACAAAGUUGCUUACUUGGAAAUGGAAAAUGAUAAAAAAAAUGAGAGACUCAAAACAGGGAUCGAAACAUUGGAAAAGAAAAGCAGAAGAGAAAUGGAAAGUUGGAAGAAGAAGAAGUUUACGCAGUUGGAGACUGGGGUCUUGAGGGUGGAAGAAAAAAUCAAUCUUUAUGAGGGUUACAAUUUAAAGUUUUUGGAAGAAAAACUGAUGGCUGGGUCAUUGUUGCUAAUAUGGAUCCCCUGGAGUUGACAGAUAAUAUGUUGAUUGAGCCUAAUACCAAGCUAGCCUUCUUCACUUCAAGGGAUUUCAAAGAUGUACAUGUCCCAGGUAUCAAUGCAAUCCUGCUUGUUACAUACAUUUAUUUUUUUGGUAAUUGUUUUUCCAGUACUUCUAUUGUUUCCCUUUGUGCUUUUGUAGAUGUAGAUGUAUUGGAUUCUUAUAUAGCCCAUAAUUCAUAUCUAUUUUGGUCUUCCUGAAUUAGUAAACAACCAGUUGUUGAUUUAGCUGGGAUAGAUUACGGAUGGUUUAGUAAUAACUGGAGCGAAUGGGUUCGGUUGUUUGUUAUAUUUCUUAGCAUCUGUACUAGAAGAUCUAUUUAUUGGGUUCUUGAUUCAGUAAUAAUUCCGGAGC